CAUUGACUCCCUUUUGGGGCCCCUAGCUGCAUUUGGUCUCUUUUGCUUUGCUUUCCAUCUUGAAACAGCUCUAAGGCUUUUAGAAAGAGACCUUUCCUUUCCUCUCCUAAGCUGAGCUCUGAAACUUCCAGAAGAGGCAUAAUUUCCUCAUAAAAUGCUUCUAGGUUCCUUGUCCCAUCUGUAUGGAUGCCCACCUUGCUUUCUGCCCCUCCAUUGCAAUGUCCUGAACAAACCUCUGGAGGUAAACAAAGGACAAGUCUCCAGGGCCUGGAUCCAGGACAGCAGUUCUGCUUGUAUUAUUUUGACAAGGACUUCUGUAAACUCCCAAGAUGCCAACCUGAAACUGACAGGAAUGGUGGCAAAAAUACUCAACGCGCAAAUUCUUCUGACGGACUAAAAGGAGUCUGUUGUCUGCUGGAAUCACCUUUCUUUUUCUCCCCAUGCAUUUCUCUUGCUCUGCCCUCCACACACACCUCGGUGACAGCCUGAGGGUGUCAGGCAUAAUUUUGCAAAGACACAGAGAAGGAAAAGAAAAUGCCAAGUGUCAAGUCUAUUCCAUGACCUCCCGCUACAGCAUAAACUGAAAAUAGCAGCCCUGAGAAAGUGGCCUGUUAGCUUCUUUAGUCUUGAUAGGUUGAAUUGGCUUUCAAGUGUUUUCACAGCUACUCUGGAGAGUUAUGAGCACUUAGGGUCUGAUGCAGUGUCUGCUGAAAUCUAUAAGAAUCUUUUUACUGACUUCAGUGGACUGCAUGUUGACCCUGGUUUUUGCCAUGAGUCUUCCACACAAAAACAACCUACUGAUGCAUGUUUGUAAAGCAUUGUUAUAAAAAAAUCCUACAAUUAGCCUGUAAAAUUAAAGAGAUAAGGG
ensembl:lncRNA